rnacentral:lncRNA from 1 species
ACUCAUAGUAGAGAGAAAAUACCAUAAACAAAAUACUGACAUAAGUUACUUUUAGUUUCAGUUUGGUAAUUGGAGUAUAAUAAUCAUGGGGAGAAAGAGAAUUUCACAAGGAUGGAGCUGCCAAAAAGACAGAUGUGCCAGGCUAUCCAGUGUAUGACCAGGAACAGUAAGUUUCCAGUUUUCAACAGCCAGGGAGAUGAACUUUGUGGAAAUUGGAC